rnacentral:rRNA from 1 species
AUGCUAGAUCUGGCCACGCCCUUGAGGGGCCCCUCUCCAAGACACCAGGCCCAGGACGCCACCCCGCUUGGGCCUCUCUCUAGCCUGCCUUCCAGCUCGGUUGGUGACCAAGACAGCAGUAGCAACAUCCAGAUCGAGACCUUCCUCAACAACUGCUCUGCCCCAAUCCCGGCUCCGCUCCUCCCAUCCCCCGUUCCACUGCUGCACAAGCCACAUGUCUCCGACCGCCCCCCGGCGACAGGGAGCACAAGAUCCAGUGGAAGGCUAGCUGCUAAGCCAACCAGGCAGCUUUCCUCCAUGGAUAAAGCGUUGCACGUCCUGAAGAAGAAGGAGGUGAUCGCUGCGGCCACUGACACCGAAGAGGAUGUGAUGGACAAGCUCAAGAACAUUUGCAAGAAACCCCUCCCCUCGGGCUUCAUUACGGCUGUCUCCUCCCUGAUUUCCGCCUCCGGUCCGCCUCAGGGCGGCGCUCCGAGGGUGCCCAGACUGCCAGGGAUUGAGUCGGCCUGA